rnacentral:rRNA from 1 species
GACGAGCCACACGAACGUUAUUCGGAAUUACUGGGCUUAAAGGGUGCGUAGGCUGCGCGGUAAGUUGGGUGUGAAAUCCCUCGGCUCAACCGAGGAACUGCGCCCAAAACUACCGUGCUCGAGGAAGAUAGAGGUAAGCGGAACUUACGGUGGAGCGGUGAAAUGCGUUGAUAUCGUAAGGAACACCUGUGGCGAAAGCGGCUUACUGGGUCUUUUCUGACGCUGAUGCACGAAAGCUAGGGGAGCAAACGGG